AGUGAACGCUGGCGGUAGGCCUAACACAUGCAAGUCGAACGGAAGCACAGUAAGAGCUUGCUCUUACGGGUGGCGAGUGGCGGACGGGUGAGGAAUACAUCGGAAUCUACUUUUUCGUGGGGGAUAACGUAGGGAAACUUCCGCUAAUACCGCAUACGACCUACGGGUGAAAGCAGGGGAUCUUCGGACCUUGCCCGACUGAUUGAGCUGAUGUCGGAUUAGCUAGUUGGCGGGGUAAAGGCCCACCGAGGCGACGAUCCGUAGCUGGUCUGAGAGGAUGAUCAGCCACACUGGAACUGAGACACGGUCCAGACUCCUACGGGAGGCAGCAGUGGGGAAUAUUGGACAAUGGGCGCAAGCCUGAUCCAGCCAUACCGCGUGAGUGAAGAAGGCCUUCGGGUUGUAAAGCCCUUUUGUUGGGAAAGAAAAGCAGCAGGUGAAUACCCCGCUGUUCUGACGGUACCCAAAGAAUAAGCACCGGCUAACUUCGUG
rnacentral:rRNA from 1 species